UAGCGGCGGACGGGUGAGUAACACGUGGCAACUCUGCCUGUUACAACUGGGAUAACUCCGGGAAACCGGAGCUAAUACCGGAUACGUUUUUCAGACCGCAUGGUCUGAAAGAGAAAGACCUUUGGUCACGUACAGAUGGGCCUGCGGCGCAUUAGCUAGUUGGUGGGGUAACGGCCUACCAAGGCGACGAUGCGUAACCGACCUGAAAGGGUGAUCGGCCACACUGGGACUGAAACACGGCCCAGACUCCUACGGGAGGCAGCAGUAGGGAAUCUUCCGCAAUGGACGAAAGUCUGACGGAGCAACGCCGCGUGAACGAUGAAGGUUUUCGGAUCGUAAAGUUCUGUUGUUAGGGAAGAACCGCCGGGAUGACCUCCCGGUCUGACGGUACCUAACGAGAAAGCCCCGGCUAACUACGUGCCAGCAGCCGCGGUAAUACGUAGGGGGCAAGCGUUGUCCGGAAUUAUUGGGCGUAGAGCGCGCGCAGGCGGCUUCUUAAGUCAGGUGUGAAAGCCCACGGCUCAACCGUGGAGGGCCACUUGAAACUGGGAGGCUUGAGUGCAGGAGAGGAGAGCGGAAUUCCACGUGUAGCGGUGAAAUGCGUAUAGAUGUGGAGGAACACCCGUGGCGAAGGCGGCUCUCUGGCCUGUAACUGACGCUGAGGCGCGAAAGCGUGGGGAGCGAACAGGAUUAGAUACCCUG
rnacentral:rRNA from 1 species